rnacentral:rRNA from 1 species
UCAAGUAAGUAAGGGCGUACGGCGGAUGCCUUGGCCAUAUCAGCCGAAGAAGGACGCGAUAAGCUGCGAUAAGCUGCGGUGAGGUGCAAGUAACCAUUGACCCGCAGAUCUCCGAAUGGGGAAACCCGGCAGCAGGAGUGCUGUCAUCCUCUAAGAGGAAGGGCACCCGGUGAACUGAAACAUCUAAGUAGCCGGAGGAAAAGGAAUCAACAGAGAUACCCCAAGUAGCGGCGAGCGAACGGGGCAGAGCCCAAACCGUCACGGGAAACCGGGACGGGGUUGCGGACUGCGAUCAACUGCCAGCGUGAAGCAGAAUCAGGUGGGAACCUGAGCCAGAGACGGUGAGAGCCCGGUAGGCGUAAGCAACGGCAGGGAGCAGGAUCCAGAGUACCACGAGACACGAGAAACCUUGUGGGAAGCAGGGGGGACCACCCUCCAAGGCGAAAUACUGAUAUGGACCGAUAGCGCAUAGUACCGUGAGGGAAAGGUGAAAAGAACCCCGGGAGGGGAGUGAAAGAGAACCUGAAACCGUAUGUCUACAAGCAGUCGAAGCACAUUAGUGGUGCAACGGCGUGCCUAUUGAAGAAUGAACCGGCGAGUUAUUUCAUCCAGCGAGGUUAAGCAGGAAAUGUGGAGCCGCAGCGAAAGCGAGUCUGAACAGGGCGAGGAGUUGGAUGGAAUAGACCCGAAACCACAGUGAUCUACCCAUGUCCAGGUUGAAGCACAGGUAAAAAUGUGUGGAGGACCGAACCAGUGAGCGUUGAAAAGCUUUUGGAUGAGAUGUGGGUAGGGGUGAAAUGCCAAUCGAACGUGGAGAUAGCUGGUUCUCCCCGAAAUAGCUUUAGGGCUAGCCUCAUGGUAAGAGUACAGGCGGUAGAGCACUGAACAGGGUAGGGGCCUAUCCGGCUACUGAACCUAAUCAAACUACGAAUGGCUGUACUUAUACAUGGGAGUCAGACUGCGAGUAAUAAGACCCGUAGUCAAGAGGGAAACAGCCCAGACCAACAGCUAAGGUCCCCAAUGCCGUACUAAGUGGCGAAGGAUGUGGAAUUUCGAAAACAACCAGGAUGUUGGCUCAGAAGCAGCCACCAUUAAAAGAGUGCGUAAUAGCUCACUGGUCGAGAGACUCUGCGCCGAAGAUGACCGGGGCUAAAGUACGGAACCGAAGCUUUGGCAGUUAGUCAAACUAACUGGGUAGGGGAGCGUUCCUGCAUGGGAGAAGCCUGACCGGAAGGACAGGUGGACAGGCAGGAAGAGAGAAUGCCGGUAUGAGUAGCGAAAAGAAAGGUGAGAAUCCUUUCCACCGAAAGCCAAAGGGUUCCUGGGCAACGCUCGUCGUCCCAGGGUAAGUCGGGACCUAAUCCGAGGCGAAGACGCGUAGGAGAUGGACAACAGGUUGAAAUUCCUGUACUGACAGUUCUCGUUUGAGCGAGGGAGUGACGCAAGAAGGAAGGCGCGCAUGCGGUUGGAAGCGCAUGUCCAAGCAGGUAGGUUGAAUGGCAGGCAAAUCCGUCAUUCUGAAAGCCGAGAUGCGAUGGGGAGUUUCUGGAGACAGAAACGAAGGGGCUGGGACUCGAUUGCCAAGAAAAGCUUCUAGUGAGAGAACUGCCACCCGUACCGCAAACCGACACAGGUAGGCAGGAAGAGAAUUCUAAGGUGCGCGGGAAAACCCUCGUUAAGGAACUCGGCAAAAUAUAUCCGUAACUUAGGGAAAAGGAUAGCCCGGAGAGUGUGAAGAGCCGAAACGCUCGGAGCAUGAACGGGCGGCAGAAGAGAGGCCCAAGCGACUGUUUACCACAAACACAGGCGUCUGCGAAAGGGAAACCUGAAGUAUAGAUGCUGACACCUGCCCGGUGCUGGAAGGUUAAGAGGACUUGUUAGCGCAAGCGAAGCAGAGAAUUGAAGCCCCAGUAAACGGCGGCCGUAACUAUAACGGUCCUAAGGUAGCGAAAUUCCUUGUCGGGUAAGUUCCG